rnacentral:lncRNA from 1 species
AGGGUGGAAUGGGGAAAACUGCCUGAUCUCACCCUUCUCUCCCCCUCUGAUCUACUGCUAGUCCUUCCUGCUGGCCAAACCCAACCGGAUGGAAGUCAAAAGACCAGGGGUCCCGCAGAGGUAGCACACACGUGUCAACAUGGCAGCAACUCAGAACACGCACCAAUGUGGAGAAGGAUGGGACACAUUCCGGGAGUGCCAGUAGAAAUAUCCGUAUGCCAUGGAAACUAGGGCCUGAGGAAGUGCGUGUAAACCCUCAUGAUGCACCAUCUGCUGGAUCAGCAAGAUUAUGCUACAACCAGUCAUAUCCAACCACAUGCUGGAACUUUGAACUCACCUCAUCUGUGUGGCCAACUGUGGACCUGCAGACAACAUCGGAACACAAGAUUCCAGGACAAGUCUCAUGUGAAGACAAAGGAAAUACCCAGAUUGUAAAUAGGCUCUCUGCGCCCUCUGCAAUCAGCCCAGCUUCCUCUAUUAUGGACAGAUCUGUGCACCCAGAUAUGCCCAGGACUUCUCACUGA